rnacentral:misc_RNA from 1 species
CUUCCCUAUUCCUUCAAAGUUCAUCUUGAUGUGAUUUGAAGAGGAAAUUGCCACAAGAUUGAGAUAGAUAUGUUUGAAUUUAAAAAAAAAGUAAUGCAAUAAGACCUCGUCAUGUUCAUCCUUACUAACAUCCCAUACAAAAAAUGAAAUCUUUUUUAUGGUCUGGAUUUUUUCAAUCACCUUAACGAAGGAGGUGGACUUCAACCAAGCCAGCCCUUCUUAUGAAGUGGCUAUGGAGAUUUCCAAAGGAAAAAAAAAGAAAAAAAGCCAUGGUGCUCAUAUUUGGCUGCUAAGUACCUCUCCAAUGGAAAAAAUGGAUUGACCAACCCACCUCUUAAAUAUCCUGCAUCUAGAAAGGUAUUAUUUGGUACAGAGAGACUUUCAGGCAGAACUUGGGCUAGACUUUGGUUGGGCAAUGGUAAGCUGAUUCGCUUCUGGGAUGAUGUUUGGCCGUGCCACUCUCCUCAGGGAUGCAUGCCAUAAUUUAUAUCAAUUCACAAGGUUCUCAUGACCUCAAAGUGAUAGACUACAUUCAAUAUGAAGGAGAAAAAAGGAUUUAUCUCCCUAUUCAACUGCCCGUCCAAGAGCAUUUGGCUUCAGAAUACUUGUUUUUCUUUUUUUUUUUUUU